UAGAGUUUGAUCAUGGCUCAGGACGAACGCUGGCGGCGUGCCUAAUACAUGCAAGUCGAGCGGACAGAAGGGAGCUUGCUCCCGGAUGUUAGCGGCGGACGGGUGAGUAACACGUGGGUAACCUGCCUGUAAGACUGGGAUAACUCCGGGAAACCGGAGCUAAUACCGGAUAGUUCCUUGAACCGCAUGGUUCAAGGAUGAAAGACGGUUUCGGCUGUCACUUACAGAUGGACCCGCGGCGCAUUAGCUAGUUGGUGGGGUAAUGGCUCACCAAGGCGACGAUGCGUAGCCGACCUGAGAGGGUGAUCGGCCACACUGGGACUGAGACACGGCCCAGACUCCUACGGGAGGCAGCAGUAGGGAAUCUUCCGCAAUGGACGAAAGUCUGACGGAGCAACGCCGCGUGAGUGAUGAAGGUUUUCGGAUCGUAAAGCUCUGUUGUUAGGGAAGAACAAGUGCGAGAGUAACUGCUCGCACCU
rnacentral:rRNA from 1 species